UACGUAGGGGGCUAGCGUUGUUCGGAAUUACUGGGCGUAAAGCGCACGUAGGCGGUUAUUUAAGUCAGGGGUGAAAUCCCGGGGCUCAACCCCGGAACUGCCUUUGAUACUGGGUAUCUGGAGGUCGAGAGAGGCGAGUGGAAUUCCGAGUGUAGAGGUGAAAUUCGUAGAUAUUCGGAGGAACACCAGUGGCGAAGGCGGCUCGCUGGCUCGAUACUGACGCUGAGGUGCGAAAGCGUGGGGAGCAAACAGG
rnacentral:rRNA from 1 species